rnacentral:tRNA from 1 species
AGAGGGAUGCUCCUGGGAGAGCACGCGGAUUCCAACACCGCCUCACAGGGUUCGAAUCCUUGUCCCUCUGC